rnacentral:rRNA from 1 species
UACGUAGGGGGCAAGCGUUGUCCGGAUUCAUUGGGCGUAAAGAGCGUGUAGGCGGCCAGGUAGGUCGGUUGUGAAAACUGGAGGCUCAACCUUCAGAGGUCGACCGAAACCAUCUGGCUAGAGUCCGGGAGAGGAGAGUGGAAUUCCUGGUGUAGCGGUGAAAUGCGUAGAUAUCAGGAGGAACACCGGUGGUGUAAACGGCUUUCUGGACCAUAACUGACGCUGAGGCACGAAAGCGUGGGUAGCAAACAGG